GACAGAGGGUGCAAACGUUGUUCGGAAUUACUGGGCGUAAAGCGCGUGUAGGCGGUGCGGUAAGUCGGGUGUGAAAGCCCUGGGCUCAACCCAGGAAGUGCAUUCGAUACUACCGUACUAGAGUCCCGGAGAGGUUGGUGGGACUCUCGGUGUAGAGGUGAAAUUCGUAGAUAUCGAGAAGAACACCGGUGGCGAAGGCGGCCAACUGGACGGUGACUGACGCUGAGACGCGAAAGCGUGGGGAGCAAACAGG
rnacentral:rRNA from 1 species